rnacentral:rRNA from 1 species
GACGAACGCUGGCGGCGUGCUUAACACAUGCAAGUCGAACGAAGUGGCGACUGGGUGAUUAACGCGUAAUCAACCUGCCCUUCAUAGGGGGACAACAGUUGGAAACGACUGCUAAUACCGCAUACUGCAGGAGGGGAUUGCGUCUGAUUAGCUAGUUGGAGGGGUAAGGGCCUCCCAAGGCGAUGAUCAGUAGCCGGGCGGAGAGAAUGAACGGCAACAUUGGGGCGGAGACACGGCCCAGAAUCCUACGGGAGGCAGCAGGUGGUAACCUUCCGCAAUGGACGAAAGUCUGACGGAGCAACGCCGCGUGAGUGAUGACGGCGUUCGGGUUGGAAAGCUCUGUUAAUCGGGACGCGGUACCGGAAUAGAACGCCACGGCUAACUACGUGCAAGCAGCCGCGGUAAUUC